rnacentral:rRNA from 1 species
AACGAACGCUGGCGGCAGGCUUAACACAUGCAAGUCGGACGCAUGUCUUCGGACAUGAGUGGCAGACGGGUGAGUAACGCGUGGGAAUCGUACCCUUUGGUACGGGAUAGCUCCGGGAAACUGGGAUUAAUACCGUAUGUGCCCUGGACUUAAGGUUUGGGGAAAGAUUGAUCGCCAAGGAGUGAGCCCGCGUCGGAUUAGCUAGUUGGUGGGGU